rnacentral:rRNA from 1 species
AUUGAACGCUGGCGGCAGGCUUAACACAUGCAAGUCGAACGAGUGGCGGACGGGUGAGUAAUGCUUGGGAAUCUUGCUUAUGGAGGGGGAUAACUACGGGAAACUGUAGCUAAUACCGCGUACCAUAGGAUGAGCCCAAGUGGGAUUAGGUAGUUGGUGAGGUAAAGGCUCACCAAGCCGACGAUCUCUAGCUGGUCUGAGAGGAUGACCAGGCACACUGGGAAUGGGACACGGCCCAGACUCCUACGGGAGGCAGCAGGGGGGAAUAUUGCGACAUGGGGGGAACCUGACGCAGCCAUGCCGGGGGAGUGAUGAAGGGCUUCGGGUUGUAAAGCUCUGUUAAUCGGGAGACGGUACCGGAAUAGAAAGCCACGGCUAACUACGUGCCAGCAGCCGCGGUAAUAC